UUGUGUAAAUAAUAUGUAAUUAGAUUAGAUAGACUUUUAUUGUCCCGAAGGAAAAUUGUCUUGGACACAUACAAUCCAGUGACUGCUGCUUA